rnacentral:rRNA from 1 species
GAACGCUGGCGGCGUGCCUAAUACAUGCAAGUAGAACGCUGAAGAGAGGAGCUUGCUCUUCUUGGAUGAGUUGCGAACGGGUGAGUAACGCGUAGGUAACCUGCCUUGUAGCGGGGGAUAACUAUUGGAAACGAUAGCUAAUACCGCAUAACAAUGGAUGACACAUGUCAUUUAUUUGAAAGGGGCAAUUGCUCCACUACAAGAUGGACCUGCGUUGUAUUAGCUAGUAGGUGAGGUAACGGCUCACCUAGGCGACGAUACAUAGCCGACCUGAGAGGGUGAUCGGCCACACUGGGACUGAGACACGGCCCAGACUCCUACGGGAGGAAGCAGUAGGGAAUCUUCGGCAAUGGGGGCAACCCUGACCGAGCAACGCCGCGUGAGUGAAGAAGGUUUUCGGAUCGUAAAGCUCUGUUGUAAGUCAAGAACGAGUGUGAGAGUGGAAAGUUUACACUGUGACGGUAGCUUACCAGAAAGGGACGGCUAACUACGUG